rnacentral:rRNA from 1 species
ACGGGGAGCAGCAGGCGCGAAACCUUUACACUGCACGACAGUGCGAUAAGGGGACCCCGAGUGCGAGGGCAUACAGUCCUCGCUUUUCGUGACCGUAAGGAGGUCACAGAAUAAGGGCUGGGCAAGACCGGUGCCAGCCGCCGCGGUAAUACCGGCAGCCCGAGCGAUAGCCACUAUUAUUGGGCCUAAAGCGUCCGUAGCCGGCCGAACGGGUCCGUCGGGAAAUCCACCCGCUCAACGGGUGGGCGUCCGGCGGAAACCAGUCGGCUUGGGGCCGGGAGACCAGAGGGGUACGUCCGGGGUAGGAGUGAAAUCCUGUGAUCCUGGACGGACCACCGGUUGCGAAAGCGCCUCUGGAGAACGGACCCGACGGUGAGGGACGAAAGCUAGGGUCUCGAACCGGAUUAGAUACCCGGGUAGUCCUAGCUGUAAACGAUGCUCGCUAGGUGCGGCGCAGGCUACGAGCCUGCGCUGCGCCGUAGGGAAGCCGAGAAGCGAGCCGCCUGGGAAGUACGUCCGCAAGGAUGAAACUUAAAGGAAUUGGCGGGGGAGCAC